CAAGUUUGAGUUCCAGAGAGCAUGUAAAGGGAGUUUGAGGAAAGUGGGAGAGAGAAGAGAGGGGAGGUAAAGGGAAAGAAUUUUUUGAUGGUGUCUUCUUUCUUGAGUUCUUCUUUUUCUUUCUUAGGUUCUUCUUUCUUAGGUUCUUCUUUUUUA
rnacentral:ribozyme from 13 species